AUAGCAAUAUCAUAGUGGCGCACGGGUGCGUAACACGUAUGCAACCUACCUAUUAUUGGGGGAUAGCCUUUGGAAACGGAGAUUAAUACCGCAUAAUACGAUUGACUGGCAUCGGUUGAUUGUUAAAGCUUAGGCGAUAAUAGAUGGGCAUGCGUCCAAUUAGUUAGUUGGUUAGGUAACGGCUGACCAAGGCGAUGAUUGGUAGGGGAUCUGAGAGGAUAAUCCCCCACACUGGCACUGAGAUACGGGCCAGACUCCUACGGGAGGCAGCAGUAGGGAAUAUUGGGCAAUGGGCGGAAGCCUGACCCAGCCAUGCCGCGUGCAGGAAGAAGGCGUUAUGCGUUGUAAACUGCUUUUUUAUAGGAAGAAGGAUCCCUUGCGAGGGAAGGUGACGGUACUAUAAGAAUAAGCACCGGCUAACUCCGUGCCAGCAGCCGCGGUAAUACGGAGGGUGCAAGCGUUGUCCGGAUUAUUGGGUUUAAAGGGUGCGUAGGCGGUUUAUUAAGUCAGUGGUGAAAGACGGUCGCUCAACGAUUGCAGUGCCAUUGAUACUGGUAGACUUGAGUGGGAUUGAGGUAGCUGGAAUGGAUAGUGUAGCGGUGAAAUGCAUAGAUAUUAUCCAGAACACCAAUUGCGUAGGCAAGUUACUAAGUCUCAACUGACGCUGAGGCACGAAAGUGUGGGUAUCAAACAGGAUUAGAUACCCUGGUAGUCCACACUGUAAACGAUGAUAACUAACUGUUGGCUUUCGAGUCAGUGGUACAGAGAAAUCGUUAAGUUAUCCACCUGGGGAGUACGCCGGCAACGGUGA
rnacentral:rRNA from 1 species